AGACUCUAGAGAUAGAGCCUUCCCCUUCGGGGGACAAAGUGACAGGUGGUGCAUGGUUGUCGUCAGCUCGUGUCGUGAGAUGUUGGGUUAAGUCCCGCAACGAGCGCAACCCUUAAGCUUAGUUGCCAGCAUUAAGUUGGGCACUCUAAGUUGACUGCCGGUGACAAACCGGAGGAAGGUGGGGAUGACGUCAAAUCAUCAUGCCCCUUAUGAUUUGGGCUACACACGUGCUACAAUGGACGGUACAAAGGGCAGCGAACCCGCGAGGUCAAGCAAAUCCCAUAAAGCCGUUCUCAGUUCGGAUUGUAGUCUGCAACUCGACUACAUGAAGCUGGAAUCGCUAGUAAUCGUAGAUCAGCAUGCUACGGUGAAUACGUUCCCGGGUCUUGUACACACCGAAAA
rnacentral:rRNA from 1 species